AAGAUUAAACUGAAGAGUUUGAUCAUGGCUCAGAUUGAACGCUGGCGGCAGGCCUAACACAUGCAAGUCGAGCGCGAAAACACUUCGGUGUGAGUAGAGCGGCGGA
rnacentral:rRNA from 1 species